ACCGACACAGGUGGUCAGGUAGAGAAUACCAAGGCGCUUGAGAGAACUCGGGUGAAGGAACUAGGCAAAAUGGUGCCGUAACUUCGGGAGAAGGCACGCUGACAUGUAGGUGAAGUGAUUUACUCAUGGAGCUGAAGUCAGUCGAAGAUACCAGCUGGCUGCAACUGUUUAUUAAAAACACAGCACUGUGCAAACACGAAAGUGGACGUAUACGGUGUGACGCCUGCCCGGU
rnacentral:rRNA from 1 species